AACAAAGUGAGCUAACAUGCCUUUUUUCUGGUUUAUAUUUUUUUAUAAGUGAUGAAAAUGGACCUAAAAUCCAGCAAAGCUGAACAUGUUCAACGCUGAAGGAAGGAACAUAACAUCCACAACAGUGUUUCAAUUCAGGCUAAAGAAGAGGAGAUCUCUGCUGUAAAAAAUGUAUUAAGAAAGGACUUCUUUCAAG
rnacentral:lncRNA from 1 species